CCCGCGCCAGCUUCUGCAGCUCGACGGGCACCACGGCGCUGGGGCAGUGCUUCUCGAUGUAGUCCUGGAAUCCCUGCACUCCCAUGGAAGAAAACUAGUCCAGAGCAUGUGCCACUAGGAGCCUGGCUGUCAGCAUCCUUGGAGUCAGGGAGGCACAGCAGAACUGAGCACUGCCGGCUCAUGCCCAGCUGCAAACACAACCCUCCCUUCCCAAAGAGAAGAAGAGAGAGGGGAAAAGCAUAAGGGGAAACAAGCCUGAUGCAUCUGGCUGUGGAGCUGCUGCCCUGGACCGUCCCUGUUCUUGCUGCUGUGGAAGAGCUCCAGCCUUCACCUUGCUGCCAGGUCUGCAAGUGGCAAUGGGCUCACCGUGUGGGCAGGUGCUUUUCUGCACUGCUGCUUCAGGGCUCACAGUUCUAGGCAAGCCUGUCACUUAGUCAAAAAAACUUGCAAAAAUAAAAGAAAUUGAA